rnacentral:misc_RNA from 1 species
AAGUCGUAACAAGGUCUCCGUAGGUGAACCUGCGGAGGGAUCAUUACAGAGAACAUCGCCCUCACGGGUGACUCUCCAACCCUAUGUUAUUAAAACCUUUGUUGCUUUGGCGAGCCGCUUCGGCCACCGGCUUCUGCUGGUGUGCGCUCGCCAGAGGACCACAAACUCUGUUUAUUAAUGUCGUCUGAGUACUAUAUAAUAGUUAAAACUUUCAACAACGGAUCUCUUGGUUCUG